AUGCGGUCUUCCAUAGCGUCAGCGGCUACGGCAGGGCGGCCUUCCAGCAGCUACUCUGAAAUGCCAAGAGAGACACCAGCCCCGGCGGAGCAGGUGGUGGCCGCGGGCAGGGUCGAGAGGUGCUGCGGGGCAAAUCCGAGCACGGGAGCGCUCUGAGGCCCCAGGGAGGCCAGGGGACACUAGAGCUGUUUGUUAUGAAUCCAUGCCUGGUGUCCCCCCACAGAGCAGCACAAGGCCAGCUGUUCCUCCAGCUGUGAUUUUUGCUUUUUCUUUCUGAAGUACCAGUUCCUGCUGAGCAUCCUCCCCUCCAAGGGCAUUCCUCUCCCCCUCAGGGUGUUACUGUCAGCACCAGGAGUUAGAAUAAGCCCAUCUGGAAGCCAGCUCUGCAGACUAUUUCCAGAGCAGCAAGCAAUACUAGUGAACUAAAGACCAAGCAAUACUGG